rnacentral:rRNA from 1 species
GCGGCUACCAUGCAGUCGAGCGGUAACAGGGGAAGCUUGCUUCUCGAUGACGAGCGGGGACGGGUGAGUAAUGUAUGGGGAUCUGCCCGAUAAGGGGGAGACUACUGGAAACGGUAGCUCAUACCGCAUAAUCUCUUACGAGCAAAGCAGGGGAACUUCGGUCCUUGCGCUAUCGGAUGAGCCCAUAUGGGAUUAGCUAGUUGGUGAGGUAAUGGCUCACCAAGGCGACGAUCCCUAGCUGGUCUGAGAGGAUGAUCAGCCACACUGGGACUGAGACACGGCCCUCACUCCUACAGGAGGCAGCAGUGGGGAAUAUUGCACAAUGGGCGCAAGCCUGAUGCAGCCAUGCCGCGUGUAUGAAAAARGCCUUARGGUUGUAAAGUACUUUCACUUGGGAGGAAGGCGUUGAUGCUAAUAUCAUCACCGAUUGACGUUACCAACGGAAGAAUCACCCCCUAACUCCGUGCCAGCAGCCGCGGUAGAACGGAGGGUGCUCGCGUUAAUCUGGAUUACUGGGCGUAAAGCGCACGCAGGCGGUUGAUUAAGUUARAUGUGAAAUCCCCCUGCUUAACCUGCGAAUGUCAUCUAAAACUGGUCAGCUAUAGACUUGUAUAGAGGGGUAGAAUUCCAUGUGUAGCGGUGAAAUGCGUCGAGAUGUGGAGGAAUACCGGGGGCGA